rnacentral:lncRNA from 1 species
CGCGAGGAAACAAAACCGAAACUAGCGCAACUGUUUUGCUCAGUUGUGCAGAUAGAAAAUGAUCCAAAGCCGAAGCCGUCAAUAGCAUGACGCCAUUUUACAGUUGCGCUGCAUCACGUGCGAGUACGUUGUCGUUGAGUGGUUCUGAAAUCGCUGCGUUAGGGGCGACUGCAACCAGGCGUUGCGGCAAGUUACGGUGGGAGCUUCUGUCCGUGCUGUGUGAUUGCGACGAGGGGGACCGCCGCCAGCAGCAGCGUGUCGCCGAUUUCGUCUUUGCCGACAUCGAGCAAGUGCAGCUCGCCGGACCGUCACAAGCGCCCGAAGUGCUGCGGUUUGCACUGCAUCUUUCAUUGUGAUAUAAGAGAUCGCAACGGACAGAGACGACCAGAUGCAUACGAACGACUACCAGCGGGGAGUGACCUGUGCCAUAUUUCUCUUAACGUCUCAGGUAUUCAAGAAAUGGCAACAGCCAGAAGUCGCCAUCUUAUCCAGCACGUUAUGGGUACACUCUGGCGGCUCCUACCUCUGCGUCCUACCACCACCCUGUCCCGACUACGUCCACUAGGGAGUUGGAAGCCUUUGGCGGCUUCUGCCACUGCAUACUGCCACCACCAUGUCCCGACCACGUCCACUAGGGAGUUGGCAGCCUUAGUGAUAAUGCCAAGCAGGCUGACAGCAGACAGAAAUAUUCAGGUUGCCUUGAAAUUUUACCCAAGCCAUGCCACAUACUCGGGCCAGGCCUCUUGCGAACUACGUAUAACCAGGCUCAACGCAUCACUGUCGAGCGAGUCCGGAGAUCAAGGAAACCUGCUGUGCAACCAUCGCGCAACACUUGGUGACCCCUCUACGUGUUCCAUC